AAGCCCAGCUUGCUGGGUGGAUUAGUGGCGAACGGGUGAGUAACACGUGAGCAACCUGCCCCUGACUCUGGGAUAACAGCCGGAAACGGUUGCUAAUACCGGAUAUGCAUCAUGGCCGCAUGGUCUGUGGUGGGAAAGAUUUUUCGGUUGGGGAUGGGCUCGCGGCCUAUCAGCUUGUUGGUGAGGUAGUGGCUCACCAAGGCGUCGACGGGUAGCCGGCCUGAGAGGGUGACCGGCCACACUGGGACUGAGACACGGCCCAGACUCCUACGGGAGGCAGCAGUGGGGAAUAUUGCACAAUGGGCGGAAGCCUGAUGCAGCAACGCCGCGUGAGGGAUGACGGCCUUCGGGUUGUAAACCUCUUUUAGCAGGGAAGAAGCGAAAGUGACGGUACCUGCAGAAAAAGCGCCGGCUAACUACGUGCCAGCAGCCGCGGUAAUACGUAGGGCGCAAGCGUUAUCCGGAAUUAUUGGGCGUAAAGAGCUCGUAGGCGGUUUGUCGCGUCUGCUGUGAAAACCCGAGGCUCAACCUCGGGCCUGCAGUGGGUACGGGCAGACUAGAGUGCGGUAGGGGAGAUUGGAAUUCCUGGUGUAGCGGUGGAAUGCGCAGAUAUCAGGAGGAACACCGAUGGCGAAGGCAGAUCUCUGGGCCGUUACUGACGCUGAGGAGCGAAAGGGUGGGGAGCAAACAGGCUUAGAUACCCUGGUAGUCCACCCCGUAAACGUUGGGAACUAGUUGUGGGGGGCCUUUCCACGGUCUCCGUGACGCAGCUAACGCAUUAAGUUCCCCGCCCUGGGGAGUACGGCCGC
rnacentral:rRNA from 1 species